rnacentral:rRNA from 1 species
UGCCAGCAGCCGCGGUAAAACGUAGGACGCGAACGUUAUCCGGAGUUACUGGGCGUAAAGCGCGUGCAGGCGGUUUAGUAAGUUACCUAUGAAAGCUCUCGGCUAAACUGAGAGAGGAUAGGUGAAACUGCUAGACUAGAGUGAGGUAGAGGUGAGUAGAAUUCCAGGUGUAGUGGUGAAAUGCGUAGAUAUCUGGAGGAAUACCAGUGGCGAAGGCGGCUCACUGGCCCUCAACUGACGCUGAGACGCGAAAGCGUGGGUAGCGAACGGGAUUAGAUA